rnacentral:rRNA from 1 species
AUACGGAGGGUCCGAGCGUUAUCCGGGAUCAUUGGGUUUAAAGGGUCCGUAGGCGGGAAUCUAAGUCAGUGGUGAAAUCUUGCAGCUCAACUGUAAAAUUGCCAUUGAUACUGGAUUUCUUGAAUUAGUGUGAAGUGGUUAGAAUGUGUAGUGUAGCGGUGAAAUGCAUAGAUAUUACACAGAAUACCAAUUGCGAAGGCAGAUCACUAACACUAUAUUGACGCUAAGGGACGAAAGCGUGGGGAGCGAACAGGAUUAGAUACCCCAGUAGUCC